UUUGUAUAAUAUAAAUUUAAUAUAUUUGACUUCCAAUCAAAUUAUCUAGUAAUAGUGCAAAUA
rnacentral:tRNA from 1 species